UCCCAGGUUAAGCCCGGGGAUUUCACAUCCAACUUAACAGACCGCCUGCGUGCGCUUUACGCCCAGUCAUUCCGAUUAACGCUUGCACCCUCCGUAUUACCGCGGCUGCUGGCACGGAGUUAGCCGGUGCUUCUUCUGCGGGUAACGUCAAUCGACAAGGUUAUUAACCUUGUCGCCUUCCUCCCCGCUGAAAGUGCUUUACAACCCGAAGGCCUUCUUCACACACGCGGCAUGGCUGCAUCAGGGUUUCCCCCAUUGUGCAAUAUUCCCCACUGCUGCCUCCCGUAGGAGUCUGGACCGUGUCUCAGUUCCAGUGUGGCUGGUCAUCCUCUCAGACCAGCUAGGGAUCGUCGCCUAGGUGAGCCGUUACCUCACCUACUAGCUAAUCCCAUCUGGGUUCAUCCGAUGGCGUGAGGCCCGAAGGUCCCCCACUUUGGUCUUGCGACGUUAUGCGGUAUUAGC
rnacentral:rRNA from 1 species